UGCUGCAGAAAAUUUUAGCCGCAUAUUGUUGCCUUAACCCAUCUAUUUGUAAUCUUUUUUGAAUGAAAUUUCUUAUACACUUCAUAGAUCAUCUUGGCUUCCAUCUAAGAUUGAUCUAUUAUGAAAUUCAUCUCUAAAAAUGAUUUUAUGUUGCUGCAAAUUUUCAUCGUAACCUGCUGAAAUUUUUCGACGAGAAUUCUACAAUCGCAAC
rnacentral:lncRNA from 1 species